rnacentral:tRNA from 1 species
GAGGUGGUGGCUCAGAGGUUAAGAGCACUGGCUGCUCUUCCAGAGGUCCUGAGUUCAAUUGUCAGCAACCACA